UGUCUUUUAAAUAAAGACUUAGAAUGAAUGGCCAAACGAGGCUCUACCUGUCUCUUACAAAUAAUCAGUGAAAUUGAUCUUCCUGUGCAAAAGCAGGAAUAACAUUAUAAGACGAGAAGACCCUGUGGAACUUCAAAUACAAAUCAACUAUUAUCCAACACACGCCUAAAAGGCCCAUACCAAAUUAACAUCUGAUUUAUAUUUUCGGUUGGGGCGACCUUGGAGUAAAAUAAAACCUCCAAAAAUAGAACUCUAUCUAAACCUAGAUCCUACAACCCAAAGUGCUUUCAGCAAAACGAUCCAAUAUACUUGAUCAACGAACCAAGCUACCCCAGGGAUAACAGCGCAAUCCCAUCCUAGAGUCCCAAUCGACGAUGGGGUUUACGACCUCGAUGUUGGAUCAGGACAUCCUGAUGGUGCAGCCGCUAUCAAGGGUUCGUUUGUUCAACGAUUAACAGU
rnacentral:rRNA from 1 species